rnacentral:rRNA from 1 species
GACGAACCGUCCGAACGUUAUUCGGAAUCACUGGGCUUAAAGGGUGCGUAGGCGGCGCGGAAAGUUGGGUGUGAAAUCCCUCGGCUCAACCGAGGAACUGCGCCCAAAACUACCGUGCUCGAGGGAGAUAGAGGUGAGCGGAACUUAGGGUGGAGCGGUGAAAUGCGUUGAUAUCCUAAGGAACACCGGUGGCGAAAGCGGCUCACUGGAUCUCUUCUGACGCUGAGGCACGAAAGCUAGGGUAGCGAACGGGG